AUCUGAUGCAAAAACAGCAAUCUGGGUCCAUUGUUAACCUCAAAGGCACCCAACAGUCCGGAACAGCCUAAACUCUGCUGUAAAAAUAAGCUCGGUAUCUCAGCACGAGCGUAAAUACAUUCUACACUAUCCUGGAUAUCCACCACCCACAAACUGCGGUGAUACAAACAAACUGUGACUCCUAAAACUAAAUCUGGUAGUUUUAACAUAUGACAGUAUAGAAGCGCUAGUUUUCUCCUAAGUCAAUUUCAAGUCCAAAAUGUAUAAUUUAUCUAACUUACGACAGCAUGCUCCAAAUUCAGAUUUCAUUUAACAUGCUAAUUAAUGAAUUCGAGCUAAAAACAGGAUAUACAACUGCUGAAAAUAUACAUGUUGACUACGU
rnacentral:lncRNA from 1 species